rnacentral:rRNA from 1 species
AUUGAACGCUGGCGGCAUGCCUAACACAUGCAAGUCGAACGAGUGGCGGACGGGUGAGUAAUGUCUGGGAAAGUGCCCGAUGGCGGGGGAUAACUACUGGAAACGGUAGCUAAUACCGCAUACCAUGGAAUGUGCCCAGGUGGGAUUGGCUAGUCGGUGGGGUAAUGGCUCACCGAGGCGACGACCCGUAGCUGGUCUAAGAGGAUGACCAGCCACACUGGAACUGAGACACGGCCCAGACUCCUACGGGAGGCAGCAGUGGGGAAUUUUGGACAAUGGGCGCAAGCCUGAUCCAGCCAUGCCGCGUGGAUGAAGAAGGCCUUCGGGUUGUAAAGUACUUUUAGCGGGGAGGCGGUAUCUGCAGAAGAAGCACCGGCUAACUACGUGCCAGCAGCCGCGGUAAUAC